AAGCACGGUCAUAAUACUUCAAUGUGCUUAAGAGACAUUUUUAAUGAUUUAAAUUUUGAAGAGUUUUCCUUUACCACUCUUUAAGUGUUAAAAUCUAUUUAAUUGUUGUAAGUAGUAAGUUUUAUGUUUAUACAUUAUAAAGUGAUCAAAUAAUUUUCUAUUUGUCUCAUGUAAAGAGAAAGUAUGGCUAAAAUUAUGGAGUUUGUUAUUGUUUUGAACCUCUUUCUGACUAUGUCUUUUGUUGCAACAAAUAUUAGUGCACUUGUAGAAUGUAACAGUGACUCUGAAUGUACAAAAAACAUGUGUCUCUUUCCUCGGAUUCCAUGGUGCAUUGAUCAUAAAUGUGAAUGUGUUUUUUUAUACGGUUCAAAACUCCUUUUAAAGAAUAAUGAUAAAUUCACAGGAAAAAGAUUUGAAAAAUAUUACUUAUGAUUCAAUUCUUUAUGCGAUGCAAUUUAAUUAGUUUGUUGGCACCAAAUUAUUGAAUUUUAACUUUUCUAAUUUCAAGAACCUUAAAGUUAUGGCUUUGUAUUCUAAAAUUAUGACAAUAAAAUGAAACAAUAAAUAAUAUUAUCUAUA